rnacentral:rRNA from 1 species
GACGAACGCUGGCGGCGUGCUUAACACAUGCAAGUCGAGCGGAGCGGCGAACGGGUGCGUAACGCGUGAGUAACUGCCCCCCACUCUGGGCUAACAGUUGGUAACGGCUUCUAAUACCGGAUAGUGGGGGAUGACUCGCGUCCUAUCAGCUUGUUGGUGGGGUAGUGGCCUACCAAGGGCACGACGGGUAGCCGGCCUGAGAGGGCGACCGGCCACAUUGGGCUGAGAUGCGGCCCGAACUACGACGGGAGGCAGCAGUGGGGAAUGUUGAGCAAUGGGGGAAACCCUGAUGCAGCAACGCGCGUACGAGAUGACGGCCUUCGGGUUGUAAACCGCUUUCAGCCAUGACGCGGUAGUGGCAGAAGAAGCACCGGCUAACUACGUGCCAGCAGCCGCGGUAAUAC